rnacentral:rRNA from 1 species
UACAAAGGGGGCUAGCGUUGCUCGGAAUCACUGGGCGUAAAGCGCACGUAGGCGGAUUCUUAAGUCGGUGGUGAAAUCCUGGAGCUCAACUCCAGAACUGCCUUCGAUACUGAGAGUCUCGAGUCCGGGAGAGGUCGAGUGGAACUGCGAGUGUAGAGGUGAAAUUCGUAGAUAUUCGCAAGAACACCAGUGGCGAAGGCGGCUCACUGGCCCGGUACUGACGCUGAGGUGCGAAAGCGUGGGGAGCAAACAGG